rnacentral:rRNA from 1 species
CCUACGGGUGGCUGCAGUAAGGAAUAUUGGACAAUGGAGGCAACUCUGAUCCAGCCAUGCCGCGUGAAGGAUUAAGGCCCUAUGGGUUGUAAACUUCUUUUAGACGGGACAAAACCCCUUUACGUGUAAAGGGUUGAUGGUACUGUCAGAAUAAGCAUCGGCUAACUUCGUGCCAGCAGCCGCGGUAAUACGAAGGAUGCAAGCGUUAUCGGGAAUUAUUGGGGUGAAGGGGUGCGUAGAAGGACUAGUAGAAAGCCUGCAGCUUAACUGCAGAAGUGCCGUUGAUACUGUUAGUCUUGAGUACAGUUGAGGUAGGCGGAAUGUGUCAUGUAGCGGUGAAAUGCUUAGAUAUGACACAGAACACCGAUUGCGAAGGCAGCUUGCUAAGCUGUAACUGACGCUGAGGCACGAAAGCGUGGGGAGCAAACAGGAUUAGAUACCCUAGUAGUC